rnacentral:rRNA from 1 species
GACGAACGCUGGCGGCGUGCUUAACACAUGCAAGUCGAACGAUGAACCCGGAGCUUGCUCCGGCGGAUUAGUGGCGAACGGGUGAGUAACACGUGAGUAACCUGCCCUUGACUCAGGGAUAACUGCGGGAAACUGUAGCUAAUACCGGAUACGACACCUUGGGGCAUCCCAGGGUGUGGAAAGAAUUUCGGUCAAGGAUGAGCUCGCGGCCUAUCAGCUAGUUGGUGAGGUAAUGGCUCACCAAGGCGACGACGGGUAGCCGGCUUGAGAGGGUGACAGGCCACACUGGAACUGAGACACGGCCCAGACUCCUACGGGAGGCAGCAGUGGGGAAUAUUGCACAAUGGGCGCAAGCCUGAUGCAGCAACGCCGCGUGAGGGAUGACGGCCUUCGGGUUGUAAACCUCUUUUAGCAGGGAAGAAGCGAAAGUGACGGUACCUGCAGAAAAAGCACCGGCUAACUACGUGCCAGCCGCCGCGGUAA